UACGAAGGGGGCUAGCGUUGCUCGGAAUGACUGGGCGUAAAGGGCGCGUAGGCGGUUUGUACAGUCAGAUGUGAAAUUCCUGGGCUCAACCUGGGGGCUGCAUUUGAUACGUAUGGACUGGAGUGAGGAAGAGGGUCGUGGAAUUCCCAGUGUAGAGGUGAAAUUCGUAGAUAUUCGCAGGAACACCAGUGGCGAAGGCGGCUCACUGGUCCGAUACUGACGCUGAGGUGCGAAAGCGUGGGGAGCAAACAGG
rnacentral:rRNA from 1 species